CCGACCCAGGCGCCCCUGAACAGACAUUUUUAAAAAGAAUUGUAGAAACAUAUUAAGGAAAAAUGCAGCAUGUUAUAACUGCAAAACAUUAACCGUACAAAAAUGUGUUUGAACGUAAUGAAAAAAUAUCUCUUCGGUGGGUAAGACGAACUAACAAAGGUAACUUCUCUAAAGCAUAACGCACAUUAGUACACACACAAGGGCUUUUUCUAUUUAUAGGUUCAUUUCUCAGGUCAUGUAAUUUAGGUGGCUUGCUAUUCUGCUUGGCUGUAAGUGACAGACAGCCCCCCCCCCCCCCGAAGUAAACAGUGUGCUGAGUUUAUUUUCCUCUCCCGUAAAAGUGCGCUGAUCCGGGCCCUCGUGGCUGCCGGUGUGAGGGUCUAGGCUCCUCCCAACACGCGCUGCACGGUGGGUAAAGCUCUACACGUACAUUCCAGAACUCGGUUACCUGGUCGCAUCCAGGUCAGGCAAGUCCGGGAGAUGUUUGCAUUUGAGGAAGCCAUACUCUGGCUAAAACUCAGGGACUUUAUUUCUUAGGAGAAGGAAGAGGGCAUGGGGUUGUGGGCUGGGUAGCAGUCUCGGCCACUGCCCACCCUGCAGCCACCCACAUAUCGGCGCUCGCCCUUCUGCUGCACCCACGACCCACCCCCGCCGCACCCCCGGACACAGCGGCAAAGCCCCAGCCAGUCCCCGCAUCUGCCUCAAAACGCAGGGUCCCAAGGAUAACGCGGAAAACCUCCCCACCAGAAACGGUUCGACAAGCUACGCACCAGGCAGUCCCCGGCUCCCAGUCCACCCAGCAUAAGGCGGGUGAGUGGGAAGGAGACGCCGGCACGAAAAACCCCCCUCUGGAGCAAAGACUGGGAAGCACAACCUCCCCUGGUCCAUCCACGUGCGCCAAUCCGAGCAGGAGGAACAGCCAGGACGCCACGGCCCCCCGCCGGGGUCCUCGCCAGAGUGUUUGUUCCAAAACGUGUGGACCUCGGGUCCAUCAGUUGCCCAUCAGCUCUAGCCGUCGAGGCAGUUUCUAACCCUGAAGUGUCCGGCCGUCUUCACUCACUGGCCUGCACGCGCCCCCCCCUCCUCCGGGCGCGAUGUCCUGGCCACCCCGAGCCUCCGGGGGCCACGGGCUUUGCUGCGAACUUCACACGUCAGUGGGACGGGGCUCGGUUUUCUUUUCUGCUAAGUGUGCUGCUUUGUGGAAAACCAUCCCAGUUCCGGAUGCCGUGGGAGAACCUAGCAGUUGCUUUCUCAACCCUGCAAGGCUCCAAAUUACCAAGCUCUCGGUCACUUUCGGUGGCAGGCUGCAGGCAGGGAGCAUCUCCAUCAUCACAGGGCGUCCCCUCUUCCCACGCCUACGCCGGCCGCUCUCUUGUAAAGCUUUGCUAACGGCAGCAAGCAGCAGCUACCACGCUUCUGCGUCACGGCUCUCUCCUGUCAUUCCCUCCCUCGAUCCGAGCUCAGAACACGAGCCGCUUUUCAAAAAACAGUAGGGGACAGCUGUUAGCAACUGCUUCAUUUCUCCACGCUGUCACCAGGCCUCUGGCCCACAGUGUUUGAGUCCCUGACACCUGCCAACAUCCACGGAGUCAGUGCCACAUAUCUCUGUUCUGCUACUCACAGCUCACCUCUCUUGGUCCUUUUUUUUCUAUCAGUUAAGAUUAGAUUUGCCCGGAAAAUCCAAAGGAGCAGUGGCUUCAACGGGACUUUUAAAUCUCCCGCAUUCUGAGCCCACAGUAAGGUGGUCCAUGGACGGUCCAGUGGGACUCCAUGGUGGCAGGAACCUACCCGUCUUCUCUCUUGCUGGCGUGCCAUAUAUCAGCGCUAAUGGUGAUGCCCAGGAUGGCUACCUCAGCGCCAGCCAUCAAAUCCUCAUUCCAACCCAGUAGAAGAAGAAGAGUGGGAACAGACAGACACAUCUGCCCUCAUCAGGGACACUUCCAGGAAGUUGCCUUCCGUUGGCCAGAACUUAGUCGCGUGGUCAUACCUGGCUCAAGGGAGGAUGGAAGGGUCACUUCCAUUGUGGAUGGCAGAAAAGUCAAGUUUCUGUUGAGGAAUGAGAGGUGAUGGAUUUGGGGGCAAUUAGGCUCUGCUUAUGUGGAAAAUUCAGUAUCAGUGUCUCUCCUAUUCUAGCUCCAGAAUUCUCUAGCCUCCUCCUUCUUCAGGACAGAUUUAUGCCUCUGACAUGCACCUUGCAGAAGAGACAAUGACCAGACAAGGUGCGCAGUCUUCUGCCCACACAUCAUUCUUGAGGAUGCUUUUGCUACACCUACUUCACGGGGACAUAAAGUGAGGGUCUCCGGGCUACUGUUUCUGUUGGGGAGGUUUUAACAGCUAGGAGGGCAUCUGUGCUCAGUGAAUCACAGAAGUGACCAAAACAAACACCUCCGAUGAGAAGCACCCAUAAAACCAACGAGACUAUUAAUGCAAAUGGAAAACCAAAAUUGACGAAAUGCAAAAUAUUUACCUUCCCAGACUGCAGCUAGUCUUGGACUACUAAGUCAUUUAGAGGCUAAUGUUCUUAAUAAAAUCACAUUUUCCCUGAAAAUA